rnacentral:rRNA from 1 species
AACGAACGCUGGCGGCAUGCCUAACACAUGCCAGUCGAACGAGACCUUCGGGUCUAGUGGCGAACGGGUGAGUAACGCGUGGGAACCUGCCCUUAGGUUCGGAAUAACUCCCCGAAAGGGGUGCUAAUACCGGAUAAUGUCUUCGGACCAAAGAUUUAUCGCCUUUGGAUGGGCCCGCGUUGGAUUAGCUAGUUGGUAGGGUAAAAGCCUACCAAGGCGACGAUCCAUAGCUGGUCUGAGAGGAUGAUCAGCCACACUGGGACUGAGACACGGCCCAGACUCCUACGGGAGGAAGCAGUGGGGAAUAUGGGACGAUGGGCGAAAGCCUGAUCCAGCAAUGCCGCGUGAGUGAUGAAGGCCUUAGGGUUGUAAAGCUCUUUUACCCGGGAUGAUAAUGACAGUACCGGGAGAAUAAGCUCCGGCUAACUCCGUG